UACAGAGGGUGCGAGCGUUUGUUCGGAAUUAUUGGGCGUAAAGGGCGCGUAGGCGGUGCGGUAAGUCACCUGUGAAAUCUCCGGGCUUAACUCGGAGCCUGCAGGCGAAACUGCCGUGCUGGAGUAUGGGAGAGGUGCGUGGAAUUCCCGGUGUAGCGGUGAAAUGCGUAGAUAUCGGGGAGGAACACCUGUGGCGAAAAGCGGCGCACUGGACCAUAACUACGCUGAGGCGCGAAAGCUAGGGGGAGCAAACAGG
rnacentral:rRNA from 1 species